rnacentral:rRNA from 1 species
UACCCUGAACGGUGGAUCACUUGGCUCGUGGGUCGAUAAAGAACGCAGCUAAUUGCGCCCCAACUUGUGAACUGCAGGACACAUGAACAUCGACAUUUCGAACGCACAUCGCGGUCCACGGACACAAUUCCCGGACCACGCCUGGCUGAGGGUCG